rnacentral:rRNA from 1 species
UACGGGGGGGGCAAGCGUUGUUCGGAAUUACUGGGCGUAAAGGGCUCGUAGGCGGCCAACUAAGUCAUACGUGAAAUCCCUCGGCUUAACCGGGGAACUGCGUCUGAUACUGCCGGGCUAGAGGAUGGUAGAGGCGAGUGGAAUUCCCGGUGUAGCAGUGAAAUGCGCAGAUAUCGGGAGGAACACCAGUAGCGAAGGCGGCUCGCUGGGCCAUUCCUGACGCUGAGACGCGAAAGCUAGGGGAGCGAACAGG